rnacentral:misc_RNA from 1 species
GAUGAAGAACGUAGCGAAAUGCGAUAAGUAAUGUGAAUUGCAGAAUUCAGUGAAUCAACGAAUCUUUGAACGCACAUUGCGCCCGCCAGUAUUCUGGCGGGCAUGCCUGUUCGAGCGUCAUUACAACCCUCAGGCCCCCGGGCCUGGCGUUGGGGAUCGGCGGAGCCCCCCGUGGGCACACGCCGUCCCCCAAAUACAGUGGCGGUCCCGCCGCAGCUUCCAUCGCGUAGUAGCUAACACCUCGCGACUGGAGAGCGGCGCGGCCACGCCGUAAAACACCCAACUCUUCUGAAGUUGACCUCGAAUCAGGUAGGAAUACCCGCUGAACUUAAGCAUAUCAAUAAGCGGAGGA